UACGGAGGGGGCUAGCGUUGUUCGGAAUUACUGGGCGUAAAGCGCACGUAGGCGGCUUUGUAAGUUAGAGGUGAAAGCCCAGGGCUCAACCCUGGAAUUGCCUUUGAUACUGGCUGUCUUGAGUUCGGGAGAGGUGAGUGGAACUGCGAGUGUAGAGGUGAAAUUCGUAGAUAUUCGCAAGAACACCAGUGGCGAAGGCGGCUCACUGGCCCGAUACUGACGCUGAGGCACGAAAGCGUGGGGAGCAAACAGG
rnacentral:rRNA from 1 species